rnacentral:lncRNA from 1 species
UUAUGGAAGUAUUGACUCUUGGCUAAUUAACUUAGAGGCUACAGCAUGUUGCAGCAUGUAUGUCAUACGCCUGGAGAAAGUCACUUGGUUUAAAGUGCUGUUCACGGACUGGCAGACGGUGUUUAAGACAGCUGAAUGCACUGGAUAAUAGAGAAGAAGAGGAUUUUUGAACCUCCUCAGUCUACCGCUCUGUUUUGGAACAGAGGAAAAAUGGUCUCUUACUUAAAUAAAUGGAGUUUUCAUCUGCUGGGCAAGCUGUUUAGCAGAUGCUUUUUAAUUAUUUCAUUCCUGCCUCUAAUCUGUAUUUGA